GAUACUCUUAUGGUUGGUGUACACUAGGCCUAAACUAAACCUAGUCUUUCGUCUCUCGAAUGGUGGUAGCGAAUCGAAAUUCGAUGACCUGACGUAAACUAUAGCAAAGUACCCCAGCCCGCGGGGUACCGAGAACCGUGCUUCUAUACUCGUCUAUAUUCUUUGACGAAAAACCUCGUGGCACAUUACGUACGUAAUCGAAUAACCGGUCAGAGUCUUAUACGAAUAAGACGCGUACCGUGUGUCUCUUCAAUAAGUAAUUUUUCGGAAAAGUUUGUCGUGAUUUUCAUUUAUUACUUAUUAUACGUCGCGCGAAUAUCGUGAAUUAAAAUCGUAUCCACUGCAUAUUCGGAAAAAGCCGUUUGAGCAAUCGUCCGAGUCCGUUGGCGUUCGUCGACGUGUUCAGACGUGUUUCGUUUGAAAAAUUUUUUUUCCUUUUUGGUCCAUUGUGGACCUAAUCAGAACUUGUGGCCGGCAAGGAAAAGCCAAGUCUGGUUUAUAGGCCAUUAAACCGUGAAGAAGAAGAAGAAGCAAUCGGUCGUCGAGAGCGAUCGCUUACCUGCGUGGCAAGAUAUCAGGUUUUACGCUCAAGAAGAUUUUCAGUUCGAACAAUCUACCUGCUCAACAUAUUUGGUUGAAAUGUCUCCACGACAGGAGUUUGAACUGUUGCAAAUCCAAUGCUGUGUCGAUGUACUGGGAUGGACGUGUUAUGAGCUGAAGUCCUUUUCACCAGUGUUCACAUCCAAGUCCUCGGAACGAAGGAGGUCGAGAGGAGAACGAGAGGAAUCCCUUCUUAUAAUCUUCGGAUCUAUUGAUUGACCUGCGCACUCGGUCAAUCGAUAUAGCGCUUACCCCUGUCCUCGGAGAUGCGCGAAUUUUAAAAUGUAUCUUUCUCGAUAUAUAAGGUUUGUUCGUUUUACCUACACUUUCUCCACUUUUGUAGAAAGUGUACACUAUCACGUUUCUUUUAGAAGAAGUGACGUCAGAGUACGCUGUUCGUUUUGCGAGUGUAGCUACACUAUAGUGGCGAUUUCCCUAUACUUUUUACACUUGGUCUUGAGGAGGUGUGAAAAGUGUAUACCUACGAUUCCCGCGAAAUAUAACCUACAUAUGAUUAACACCAACGAGACCUGAACAUAAUUCUGAAGAAAUAUUUACCGCUGUUCAAUAUGCAAAAAGAAAAUUUGCAAACAUUGCUCAAGAUUCCAAAGGAAAUUUUAUUGUCGACGGUGACAAUAAUAUUCUCUGCACAUCCAAAGAUGGAUUGAAGUUUAUUUCUAAGAAUUCAUUAUUAUUGGACGCUAAUGCAAUGAUCUGCCCAGUUGAGGACGAGUUGUAUCAGAUUGAAUUAGAUAAUUUAAAUGAUAAAGCAAACAAUGCCUCAAAUAUUGACACUACUGAUGAAUCAUCCACUUCAGCAACAACAAAUGAAUCUGCCAUAAUUAAAAAGAAUCAUGAUACUGAUUCUUCAUUUUCAUGGAAUGAUGAAUCUACCAGAUAUUUUUUAUCUUUAUAUCAAGAAAAUAGAAAACUUGUUUCGUCCAGGAAGUUGAAAACAUUAAAAGCAAUGUGGAUUCAUAUCGCUAAUACAAUGACAAAGUCUGGAUAUAAUGUAUUUCCGCUACAAGUUGAAAACAAAUUUAAGACGAUGGAACGAGCAUAUAAGAAUAUGGUGUCAAACAAUAAAAAAACAGGAAGAGGACGGGCAACAUGUAGUUAUAUGAUUUUUUAAUUUUAUUACGACUGUGAUUUUAACUUGCAAACGCAAUGAAGUUCAUAAACAUUAAAAGUUAUAAAGUUACAUAAA